rnacentral:lncRNA from 10 species
GGUGGAGCUCUUCAAAGACAGCUUAUAGGAGCAGGAGGGCGGGGCCCAGAUCCAACCAGUCAGGGGUUGGCAAAGAGUUAGGAAACCAAUGAGCUAAAGGGGUGUGGCCUUAGCAAAAGGGUGGAGCUUAUCUCCUGAGUUGGGUGGAGCUCUGAGAGGACAGCUUAUCAGGACAGGAGGUCAGGGCUUAUGUCCAACCAGUUAGGGGUUGGCAAAGGGUUGGGAACCAAUGAGCUGAGGGGGCGAGGCUUUGGCCAAAGGGUGGGGCUUAUUUCUGGGAGGUGGGUCCAGGAGAGGCCCUUUUCUGGGUUUGGGAUAAAGUGGAGGCAGGAACCAUGGACAGCACUCCACUUACAGAGUGGUGCGGCUCUGGGCGUUGGAUUCCCCUCCAGGAAACUAGGCACCCAAGUUCACCUUCCGACAGCAAGUUUUUACCAUUCCUCAGACGUUCGGGUCCACAAACUGAGCUUUAUUUAAAGCAGGGGAACAGGCGCAGUGGCUCCCAGUACUUUGGGAGGUCCAGGCGGUAGCAUCACUUGAGCCCAGGAGUUCGAGGUUGCAGUGAGCCAUGGUAGCGCCACUGCAUUCUGUCCAGCCUGGGUGACAGAGCGAGACCCUGUCUCAAACAAAUAAAUAAAUAAAGUAAAAAAUAAGGCCGGGCGCGGUGGCUGACGCCUGUAAUCUCAGCACUUUGGGAGGCUGAGGCGGGCGUAUCACGAGGUCAGGAGAUCGAGACCAUCCUGGCCAACAUGGUGAAACCCCCAUCUCUACUAAAAAUACAAAAAUUAGCCAAGUGUGGUUGGCGCGCGCCUGUAGUCCCAGCUACUCGGGAGGCUGAGGCAGGAGAAUCGCUUGAACCCGGGAGGCAGAGGUUGCAGUGAGCUGAGAUCGCACUACUGCACUCCAGCCUGGUGACACAGCUAGACCCCGUCUAAAAAAAAAAAAAAAAAAAAAAAGCCGGGCGCGGUGGCUCACACCUGUAAUCUCAGCACUUUGAGAGGCCGAGGCAGGUGGAUCACUUGAGGUCAGGAGUUUGAGACCAGCCUGGCCAACAUGGCGAAACCCCGUCUCUACUAAAAUACAAAAAUUAGCUGGGCGUGGUGGUGGGCGCCUAUAAUCCCAGCUACUCCGGAGGCUGAGGCACGAUAAUCGCUUGAAGGUUGCGGUGAGCGGAGAUCACGCCACUGCACUCCAGCCUGGGCGACAGAGUGAGACUGUCUCAAAAAAAAAAAAAAACAUGGUUCCUCACCAGAACCCCACUCUCCCAGUUCCUUUACAUUCUCC